rnacentral:rRNA from 1 species
GACGAACGCUGGCGGCGUGCCUAAUACAUGCAAGUAGAACGCUGAAGAGAGGAGCUUGCUCUUCUUGGAUGAGUUGCGCACGGGUGAGUAACGCGUAGGUAACCUGCCUUGUAGCGGGGGAUAACUAUUGGAAACGAUAGCUAAUACCGCAUAACAAUGGAUGACACAUGUCAUUUAUUUGAAAGGGGCAAUUGCUCCACUACAAGAUGGACCUGCGUUGUAUUAGCUAGUAGGUGAGGUAAUGGCUCACCUAGGCGACGAUACAUAGCCGACCUGAGAGGGUGAGCGGCCACACUGAGACUGAGACACGGCCCAGACUCCUACGGGAGGCAGCAGUAGGGAAUCUUCGGCAAUGGGGGCAACCCUGACCGAGCAACGCCGCGUGAGUGAAGAAGGUUUUCGGAUCGUAAAGCUCGGUUGUAAGUCAAGAACGGGUGUGAGAGUGGAAAGUUCACACUGUGACGGUAGCUGACCAGAAAGGGACGGCUAACUACGUG